UACAUGUGGGGCAAGCGUUGUUCGGAAUUACUGGGCGUAAAGGGCGCGUAGGCGGUGUGUCAAGUCAGGCGUGAAAGCCCCGGGCUCAACCUGGGAACCGCGCUUGAGACUGGAGAACUAGAGUUCGGGAGAGGAUGGUGGAAUUCCCAGUGUAGGAGGUGAAAUUCGUAGAUAAUUGGGAAGAACACCGAUGGCGAAGGCAGCCAUCUGGACCGACACUGACGCUGAGGCGCGAAAGCUAGGGGAG
rnacentral:rRNA from 1 species